AACGCGAAGAACCUUACCUGGCCUUGACAUGUCCGGAAUCCUGCAGAGAUGCGGGUGUGCCUUCGGGAAUCGGAACACAGGUGCUGCAUGGCUGUCGUCAGCUCGUGUCGUGAGAUGUUGGGUUAAGUCCCGCAACGAGCGCAACCCUUGUCCUUAGUUGCCAGCACGUAAUGGUGGGAACUCUAAGGAGACUGCCGGUGACAAACCGGAGGAAGGUGGGGACGACGUCAAAUCAUCAUGCCCCUUAUGUCUUGGGCUUCACGCAUGCUACAAUGGCCGGUACAGAGGGCUGCAAUACCGUAAGGUGGAGCGAAUCCCAAAAAGCCGGUCUCAGUUCGGAUUGAGGUCUGCAACUCGACCUCAUGAAGUCGGAGUCGCUAGUAAUCGUAGAUCAGCAACGCUACGGUGAAUACGUUCCCGGGUCUUGUACACACCG
rnacentral:rRNA from 1 species